UUGGGAAAUCGGAAAAUCGAGAAAGCGAGAAAUCGGGAAAUCGAGACAUUAAGAAAGCUAAAACGCGAAAUAGAGAAAUUCAUUUCGCGUUUUCGCUUUCUUGAUUUCUCGAUUUCUUGAUUUCUUGAUUUCUCAAUUCCCCGGUUUCCCGAU
rnacentral:sRNA from 1 species